rnacentral:rRNA from 1 species
CGAAGCGUGCGAUUGGAUUGCACGUCUAAGCAGUAAGGCUGAGUAUUAGGCAAAUCCGGUACUCAUUAAGGCUGAGCUGUGAUGGGGAGAAGACAUUGUGUCUUCGAGUCGUUGAUUUCACACUGCCGAGAAAAGCCUCUAGAUAGAAAAUAGGUGCCCGUACCGCAAACCGACACAGGUAGUCAAGAUGAGAAUUCUAAGGUGAGCGAGCGAACUCUCGUUAAGGAACUCGGCAAAAUGACCCCGUAACUUCGGGAGAAGGGGUGCUCUUUAGGGUUAACGCCCAGAAGAGCCGCAGUGAAUAGGCCCAAGCGACUGUUUAUCAAAAACACAGGUCUCUGCUAAACCGUAAGGUGAUGUAUAGGGGCUGACGCCUGCCCGGUGCUGGAAGGUUAAGAGGAGUGGUUAGCUUCUGCGAAGCUACGAAUCGAAGCCCCAGUAAACGGCGGCCGUAACUAUAACGGUCCUAAGGUAGCGAAAUUCCUUGUCGGGUAAGUUCCGACCCGCACGAAAGGCGUAACGAUUUGGGCACUGUCUCAACGAGAGACUCGGUGAAAUCAUAGUACCUGUGAAGAUGCAGGUUACCCGCGACAGGACGGAAAGACCCCGUGGAGCUUUACUGUAGCCUGAUAUUGAAAUUCGGCACAGCUUGUACAGGAUAGGUAGGAGCCUUUGAAACGUGAGCGCUAGCUUACGUGGAGGCGCUGGUGGGAUACUACCCUAGCUGUGUUGGCUUUCUAACCCGCACCACUUAUCGUGGUGGGAGACAGUGUCAGGCGGGCAGUUUGACUGGGGCGGUCGCCUCCUAAAAGGUAACGGAGGCGCUCAAAGGUUCCCUCAGAAUGGUUGGAAAUCAUUCAUAGAGUGUAAAGGCAUAAGGGAGCUUGACUGCGAGACCUACAAGUCGAGCAGGGUCGAAAGACGGACUUAGUGAUCCGGUGGUUCCGCAUGGAAGGGCCAUCGCUCAACGGAUAAAAGCUACCCCGGGGAUAACAGGCUUAUCUCCCCCAAGAGUUCACAUCGACGGGGAGGUUUGGCACCUCGAUGUCGGCUCAUCGCAUCCUGGGGCUGUAGUCGGUCCCAAGGGUUGGGCUGUUCGCCCAUUAAAGCGGUACGCGAGCUGGGUUCAGAACGUCGUGAGACAGUUCGGUCCCUAUCCGUCGUGGGCGUAGGAAAUUUGAGAGGAGCUGUCCUUAGUACGAGAGGACCGGGAUGGACAUACCUCUGGUGUACCAGUUGUCGUGCCAACGGCAUAGCUGGGUAGCUAUGUGUGGACGGGAUAAGUGCUGAAAGCAUCUAAGCAUGAAGCCCCCCUCAAGAUGAGAUUUCCCAACUUCGGUUAUAAGAUCCCUCAAAGAUGAUGAGGUUAAUAGGUUCGAGGUGGAAGCAUGGUGACAUGUGGAGCUGACGAAUACUAA